UUAACACACACACAAAAAAUAAAUAAAUAAAAACGAAUUAAAGAAGAAAGCUGUACGUAUGUGUGGUGCCAACUUGCUCGACUGCAUAGUUUUACAUUUGCUUAUACGUCUGUUUGUUUGUUGGGGUCAUGCAUGAUUGUAUUUUAUUCCUGUAUUAAGUCAUACACAUUAUUAUGGCCACUGUUUGUGCACGUCUCUGCCCACCUGUCUGUGAACAAACAUUCCGUGUCUAGAGAGUCUUGCAUGUAUUUACACUUUUUGCUUCUCAUUCAUAAUUGACCGCCAGUAAACAGGCAUACAUCCUCGGCGAGUCUUCCCUCCUACACCUCCGCCCCUCCCCACACCUUCACCCCUCCUUCCUCGCCGCCACUCAUUCUCUCACACUCACACUCGUGCAGUUAGCCAAGAAGCCCAGAAGAAGGUGAUCAAAUACAGGUGGAGGAGGAAGGAGAGGAGGAGGAGUAGCAGGAGGAGGAGGAGAAGGAGGAGGAGGAGGAGGAGAAGGAGGAGGACGUGUUGAUGGUGGUGGAAGAGGUGGAGGAGGCAGGGCGGGGGAAAGGGGCCUGGGGUAGGUAAGAGACGAGGGGGCAGUCGAGGGCGGUGGGAGGGCGAGGGUCGGGGAGACAGGGAUGACUGCAGCUGCUGCCCGUCGGAGAAGCUCAGUGUGGGGCACGCUCCCGGCCGGGAAGGAGGGUUUUGCCGGGUGCUGCAGGUGGUCUUGUUAGCUCGUGUUUACCUGCCGACAGACCCUCGGGACGUGCCGGGAGGUGGUUCUCGUCCCCAGCUUGUUUCUUGAGUGGUGGAGAAUAUCGUGGCAGUCCCGUUCCUUUCUGCAUCGGCAUGUAACUUUGUCGAAACUUUUCCCUGAAUAACCCGGUGUGGAAACUACUGUUUUUUCCCUUCUUUAAUUUUUGCGCUCCGCUAAUUAAAUGCCUGUGCAAGCUACACGUGAGGUGGGUCUUUGGAUCGGAUUCUAAAACCUGAGGCCAGUAAUUAAGGUCAGUCUUGAACGCCGUUAGAAAAAAAAAAAAAAGUUUCCUUGCCAUUAUACGGCAAAGUUAUCAUUUUACUUUUCCCACAAGGCAAGUCUGAUCUGUGAAUUUUCUUACAUACGUGGCGCACCUUCCCAGUGAACUGUCUCUUCCUUGUCUGGAAAAAAAAAAAAAAAGAAGAGUGCAUGAAAACAUUGAAAUUGUUGUGAAUGAAGAUAUGUUCAAUAGUUAUUGAAAAAAAAAAAAGUGCAUGAAGACACUGUCUGAAAAUCUAUAAUUGAAAAAAAAUAUAUACGAAUAAACAUGAGUAGAUAAUAAUGAUCACUGGUGAUGAAAUUAUAUGUGGAAAAAAUAGAGGGAAAAAAAUUAAAGUGAACUUUUGUGUCGACCUUGCAAGUAUAUAUUAAGGAUGUUCAUCCGUUAGUUUUUUUUACCUGAGAUUGUUACUACGUACAUAUUGAUUAGUUCCAGGACAGCAAUUCAUCGUUCAUAAUUAAGGAAUCCAGGCUUCUCCUUGGGAUACCUAUCACACGUCAGGACACAAACAAGACGUACCACAAGUGUCACUGAGAGAGAGAGAGAGAGAGAGAGAGAGAGAGAGAGAGAGAGAGAGAGAGAGAGAGAGAGAGAGAGAGAGAAGGAAAUAGCCGGUACGUGAGCGAUACAGUGAAUAAGUAUAAUGUUUGUCACUGAUACUUGACUAUUUCCGUCACUAACUUUUGUUUACUGCCUUGAAGCCACAAAAUAUAAUUAAGUGAAUUGAAAACGACCAGACCAGUUUUUGUGCGAUCGUCUCAUGUGGUUUUUAUAACGCCGCGGUAUUUCAUGGACGGGAAUUUUGCCUUUGUAAAAAUAACCAAUUAUAUUCUAAUGCAAUUAUAAAUAAGGAAAUUAUAUACACAGCUACUACUACUACUACUACUACUACUACUACUACUACUACUACUACUAGUAAUAUUAAUAUAUUAAUAUGAAUAUGAAUAUGAAUAUGAAUAAAUUUAACAAUAGUAAUAAAGAUAAAAAAGUAAUAAAAGUAAUAAGAAAAGAAAAGUAGUAGUAGUAGUAGUAGUAGUAGUAGUAGUAGUAGUGGUCGUAGUAGACCUAGUAGUAGUAGUAGUAGUAGUAGUAGUAGUAGUAGUAGCAGUGGUAGUAGCAACAGUAACAUCAGCAGCAGUAGUAGUAGUAAUAAUAGAAGAAAAAAGAAGUAGAAGAAAAGAAAGAAGAAAAUAGUUACAAUGACAAACAAGAUAUUAAUGGGUUCAUCUCGUUUUAUGAGGGCCAUGAUUGCCAGUAAGUAGAGGCAGGAAGUCUUGUUCAGAACCAGCUAAGACCUUCACAGUUGAGGAGAAGCCACAUUUUGCAUCACAUUAAAGCUGAUUAAGGCGGAGGCGUCCACUCGGGGCGGGAGGCAGAACUGAUACAAGGCGGCGGGGUCGGUGGGUCACUGCAUCUGUGAAGUAAUGCCGUUCACCUGCUUGUUUUACUACCAGUACGCCCUGCUCUUGUACUCCCUUACCUCUCCCUCCACCUCGCCACACCUGCGAUCCGAGCAACAACUAGCACCAGAUUCUCGCACCAGCUUCUCAAAGUUGCUCAGUUUAUUUCUUCCAUCCCAUCCUUCUCCACUUGAAUUGUUUUUAUUGCUUACCAAAGAAAAUCUAUCUAUCCUCUAUCUUUGUGGCUCAUUGAUUUCUUUAUUAUAGUGUAUUUGCUUCACUCGGAAAACUUCUUAACAUGUGCAGCUGUUUGCUUAUCCAUUAUAGGAAGAAUGUGUAGUACAAACAUGAAUACAUAAGUUUAUCCAGACUUUUAUUUUUGGCUUUUUUUUUUUUUUGAGCAGGUAACUUGGAAAUUUUGCAUGAAGUGGUAUUUAUUCGUGGAGAUUAAUAAUGUGUGUGUGUGUGUGUGUGUGUGUGUGUGUGUGUGUGUGUGUGUGUGUGUGUGUGUGUGUGUGUGAGUGUGUGUCUGUGCCAGUGUCUGUAAGUAUGCAUAUUUUUCACAACAAUUUCUAACAACUCGACUCAGAUUUCAAACUUGGAGCCACUAUUUAUCUUUCCCUAACUCAAUUACUGCUGGCGGGACGGACGUGUAUGCCCUCACUGAUCUCUUCGGAAGCUUUAACCUGUGGUAGCGAAUAUCCUAUUAGUAGAAACACGCACAGGCGACAGAAAAACCACUGUGCAUACAUGUCAACGCGCUACAGAAAGGUGCAGGCGAGAACAAUCAGUGUAUACAAGUGAGAUUAUUAUUAUAGAUUUUUAUAGUGUGCAUAUGUUGGAGAAAAUUACAACAUAAGAAAAAAAUUAAAGUGAAUAUGGUGCUUUUUUUGUGUGUAUAGUGAAAGGAGGCAAUCAGCUGGAUAUACGGAAAAAAGCUUCUAUAUCACCACCACCACCACCACCACCACCACCACGAGCAAUUCACAUCCAAGAUUCUCCACCCACACCCUCACCAUGACGACCAGGGUGGCGGUGAGCUCAAGCGUGACGUACGAUGACCUGCCUGAUGGGGCAUGCUUCCACCGCCCUCACCUACAGGAGGCGGAUUAUCCCCCCACCCCUCUGCCCACACCAGUCCUUACCCCUCGCCCCGUCCCAGAGUCCCUGCCCCGCCACGUGCCCCGCCAUGUCACCUCCACUCCCCAGACACUCAAGCCCCACGCCAAACCCUCUCCCACACCCUUCCCUACCCCCCUGCCCUCACCCCUGCCCACUCCUAUGGCCACGCCAAAAAACACACCUGAGGGCACUCCAGACGCCACACC